rnacentral:rRNA from 1 species
UACGAAGGGGGGCUAGCGUUGUUCGGAAUUACUGGGUGUAAAGGGUUCGUAGGCGGUGCGGCAAGUUGGGAGUGAAAUCUCUGGGCUUAACCCAGAGGCUGCUUCCAAAACUGCCGUGCUUGGGUGUGGGAGAGGCGCGUGGAAUUGCAGGUGUAGCGGUGAAAUGCGUAGAUAUCUGCAGGAACACCCGUGGCGAAAGCGGCGAGCUGGAUCACUACUGACGCUGAAGAACGAAAGCUAGGGGA